rnacentral:lncRNA from 1 species
UUUUUUUAUUAUUUAUAGUGUACCAUGUAGAGUACCUAAAUCAUCUGCAGUCAAUACAUCUUGUACACCAAAACCUAGAAAGUCUUUUAUUAAGCUUACAAACAGGAUGAAGCGUAAAAGAACAGUCUUAGAGAACGAGAGGUGGAAGAACUGCAACAUGCUGUCAAAAGGUUUAAAUCUAAUUCUUCUACUGAUGCAACUAUGAAAAGAGGUGUAGAUGAUCGCUCUGUGUAUAGUAUAGUGUUUGUACUGCUGGAGAUCCGAAGUGGAGAAAAAAUAAUAUGGAAAAAUUUAAUU